AUCGCUUCUCGGCCUUUUGGCUAAGAUCAAGCGUAGUAUCUGUUCUUAUCAAUUAUUCAAUUGUUUAAAGCUGUUCAGAAUGGCUGUACACUGUCCUUUGCAACGUAAUCCAACAAAGAGUUUAUUGAAGCUACACACUUCUCUUGGAUACAUGUUAAUUCUUCAUGCCCUAUUGGCUGACUGUUC